GAUGAAGAACGUAGCGAAAUGCGAUAAGUAGUGUGAAUUGCAGAAUUCAGUGAAUCAUCGAAUCUUUGAACGCACAUUGCGCCCUUUGGUAUUCCUUAGGGCAUGCCUGUUCGAGUGUCAUUUAAACCUUCAAGCUCAGCUUGGUGUUGGGUGACUGUCCGCCGCCUCCGGGCGCGUGGACUCGCCUCAAAAUUAUUGGCGGCCGGUACAUUGGCUUCGAGCGCAGCAGAAACGCGAACUCGGGCCCGUCGUAUUGGCUCCCAGAAGCUAUCUUCACAAUUUUGACCUCGGAUCAGGUAGGGAUACCCGCUGAACUUAAGCAUAUUCAAUAAGCGGAGGA
rnacentral:misc_RNA from 1 species